rnacentral:rRNA from 1 species
AAUCAACGCUGGCGGCGUGCCUAACACAUGCAAGUCGAACGCGAAAGGGACUUCGGUUCUUAGUAGAGUGGCGUACGGGUGAGUAACGCGUGGGUCAUCUGCCCUCGGGUGGGGAAUAACUAACCGAAAGGUUAGCUAAUACCGCAUAACACAGUGAUGUCAAAGCAGCAAUGUGCCCGAGGAGGAGCCUGCGUCUGAUUAGGUAGUUGGUGGGGUAACGGCCUACCAAGCCUGCGAUCAGUAGCUGGUCUGAGAGGAUGGCCAGCCACAAUGGCACUGAAACACGGGCCAUACUCCUACGGGAGGCAGCAGUGGGGAAUUUUGCGCAAUGGGCGAAAGCCUGACGCAGCAACGCCGCGUGAGGGAUGAAAUAUUUCGGUAUGUAAACCUCGCAAAUAUGGGAAGAACACAAUGACGGUACCAUAUGUAAGCCACGGCUAACUUCGUGCCAGCAGCCGCAGUAAAAC